rnacentral:rRNA from 1 species
CGAUUUCGACGAGUUUGAUCCUGGACUCAGAAUGAACGUUGGCGGCGUGGAUUAGGCAUGCAAGUCGAGCGAGAACCCGCAAGGGGGACAGCGGCAAACGGGGUAGGAAUGGUCGGUAACGUACCCUUCGGACGGGGAUAGCCACGGGAAACUGUGGGUAAUACCCGAUAACCUCCUUUCUUGUAACGGAGAGAGGAGCAAAGGUGAGAUUCCACCGGAGGAGCGGCUGACUUAGUAUUAGCUAGUUGGUGAGGUAAAAGCUUACCAAGGCAUCGAUGCUUAGGGGGUGUGAGAGCAUGGCCCCCCACCACUGGGACUGAGAUACUGCCCAGACACCUACGGGUGGCUGCAGUCGAGGAUCUUCGGCAAUGGGCGCAAGCCUGACCGAGCGACGCCGCGUGUGGGAUGAAGGCCCUUGGGUUGUAAACCACUGUCAGGGGGGACGAAAUGCGCGCGGGUACUCCCGUGCGUUCGACAGAGCCCCAGAGGAAGCACGGGCUAAGUUCGUG